rnacentral:lncRNA from 1 species
UACUAUGCUAUGUGAAAUAAGCCAGUCACAAAAGGACACAUGCUGUGUAAUUACACUGAUAUGAGCAAACCUUUGGGAAGGUUUCCCUUGGCCCCUACAGUGUUGGCGUCACAGACAGGAUCCUAAAGCUGCUCUACUUUUCUGGAAGCCACAGUCCAGGGAACCCAGGACCUGACAAAGCAUCAGAAGGGUCUAAACUCCAAUAAAAUCCAGCUGGGUUACAUCAAUUCAGACAUCUGGAUAAAAGGAUGAAUGAAACCAUGUACAUAAUACAGAAUUAUGCAUGCCAGGAAAAAAAAUUAUACUGCCUAAAAGCUGCAACCUUCAUGACAUCAAAUCUAUUUUAACACUGGCUGGUUAUGUGAGGAAAAGGCUAAUAAAAAAAAAUUCUGGCUGACCAAAGAAGUAUGUAUGUAUGUAUGUGUAUUUAUUUUUAAAUUAAUAUUGAGAUGGAUUAAUGUUCUAAAAUUUGGAAUUUCUAACAUUAUCUUAUUCAUAAUAUCAUAUAUCAAAAGUCUCUGAAUAGAAAUUGUUCAAAGGCAUAUAAUCUAAUUAUCAUUACCAUGUCACUAAUCUAACCUCUAAGUAAUUGCUAAAUGCCAUCAGCACCUUCAUCUCCAAUUACAUUUUCAUGAUAUUUCAAGCUACAAUAACAAAACAGAUGCUGAUCUCGGCAUUACUAAGCAACAGGAUAUGUAUACUUUUUAGAGUGUGAAAAUAUCACUGCUCUCCCACAGUUAAUGAUACUUAUUUUCCAAGAACUUCUAGUGAUAUGAUUAUGCUCAUCCAAUUCCCAUGAGGCCAACACUGUGAUCACAGGUUACGAUAAGAACUAAAAUGCCACCCACAGCCAUGUCUGAGUGACACGCAAAACGCUUUGAAACUCUUUUCCACUAGGUUUUUUUUUUUUUUUUUGAGACAGAG